CAGGGAGAGAGAGACAGAAAGGACUCUAGCAGGUCCAGCCAAUAGCGUUAUUAGUAGAUUUCAUCAAGCGUUGGAUUGUUCACCCACUAACAGGGAACGUGAACUGGGUUUAGACUGUCGUGAGACAGGGACAGAUAAAGGACAAGCAGGUCCAGCUAGCAGCGUUAUUAGUAACUAACAGGGAACGUGAGCUGGGUUUAGACUGUCGUGAGACAGGGAUAGAGGGGGGACAGAUAAAUGACUAGCAGGUCCAGCUAGCAGCGUUAUUAGUAACUAACAGGGAACGUGAGCUGGGUUUAGACUGUCGUGAGACAGGGAUAGAGGGGGGACAGAUAAAGGACUAGCAGGUCCAGCUAGCAGCGUAACAGCA